rnacentral:misc_RNA from 1 species
AUUGAAGCAGCGUGGUGGAUUAAGCUCUGACUUCUCCUACAUGCGGAAAGAGGCCUAUGCCCAGCAGUUGGAUAUUACAGGCUGAAGCGUCAGCGUAAUUUAAAUAGCGCUGUUAUACUGAUCCUCUUUAUUCUAACGAUGUUUACGAAACGGGCGAGUUACAUCGUGGACAAAACUAAAAAUGAAAUCUAUUUAUUAUAUUUUAUUGUUCGUUGUAGAAGCUAAGGUGGUAAAUCAUAAGCCGCAAUACAACUUGCGCGACGCGCCUGCGUUAUUUAAAAAGUACAUAAUAGAUUACAACAAGAACUACAAAGAUGACGAAGAUAAAGCGGCUCUUUAAAUCUAAACCCUAUUACUGGGUUUUAAAAUAAAAAAUUAAUUUAAACGAAACUAAAUCAAUUUUAACAACAAAUAAAGUUAAGUUUAAACAUGAAAUUGAUUACUGUUACCAUAUAAUUAACAGGCGUGAUUGUUGCAAGUGUAAUAUCAACUGUAAUUUUAUAACAUAGUUCUGGGCGUCACCGAUAACGUUGUAUUGUGAAGUUGAAUGUUGCUCAAUAUUUUUUUCCGUAUUAAGAAAUUAAAAUUACAAAAUUGUUAAUUUAUGUAUGAAGAUGAAACAUUUGGCGCCGGCGGCACGAAUCAAGUUCCGAAGUAAAACUUCACGAAGCCGUUGUCUGCGAACGGAGCCCCGCAGAAGCGAUAAUGUAGACGUCGGUGAGAACAUUUAAUUUACUUGAAAUUGAGGCUGCGAUGGAUGGUUUAGAGUUGGCGCGGGGAAAUAGUAAUGAACCAGAAACCGUCUAGUGGACGGAUGUCACGGACUGAUCUGCAGUGACCUUUUUACUAGAUAAUCUUGAGAGAAAUAAUUAAAUUUCAACU